AAGAUGCGCCUCGUCGUCCUCUUCGUCCCCGUGCAAGGAAUCGACCGGGGGCUUGUUAAUUCACCGGCAAAUUCGCCGAUUCUUCUCCAACUCCGGCGACCAAAUUCGACGAUUCCGGCUGCCCUCGUCCUCCUCCGACCAAACCGUGCCCGCCUCCAUCUUCCUGGUACUCGUCGCCGGCGGUACCUUGUCAAGGUCCGGUGCCAAAACUGCUCGCCCCUGGUUCCCCUUGGUCUUCCGCUUCGAGCACGCCGACUCCCGCAUCCAGGUGUGCGCCAGGUUUCCAGAUCGAGGCUCACCUGCAUGGUGGUCAUCGUGUUCCGUCCGUCAUGGUCGCAAGGGACCAAGUCCGUCCAGCCCUACAUCAUGUUGUCACGCACCUGACACUGUUCAUUAAUCCACAGCUAGCUCGACUGAUCCGGAGCCACUGAUGGGCCUAGCCCAGAUCUUCUUCUUUGCUCCGCGUGCCCAGCACCUAUCUGCCGCCGCUCCCGCCAGGUAGCAGGCCAACCCCAGAUCCGGCCCAGGACAUUCCAGGUCCAACAAAUUCGCCCCUGCCUGUCUUAUUUUCUGAAAUAUCAAGAAACUGUUUAUAACUUGCAAAAUUCAUAUCUUUAAAACUAUAACUCGAAAUAAAACAUGUUAUAUAUGAAAAUUGAUCAGAAAAAUGUGAUGAA